rnacentral:rRNA from 1 species
AGUGAACGCUGGCGGUAGGCCUAGCACAUGCCAGUCGAACGGCAGCACAGUAAGAGCUUGCUCUUACGGGUGGCGAGUGGCGGACGGGUGAGGAAUACAUCGGAAUCUACUCUUUCGUGGGGGAUAACGUAGGGAAACUUACGCUAAUACCGCAUACGACCUACGGGUGAAAGCAGGGGAUCUUCGGACCUUGCGCGAUUGAAUGAGCCGAUGUCGGAUUAGCUAGUUGGCGGGGUAAAGGCCCACCAAGGCGACGAUCCGUAGCUGGUCUGAGAGGAUGAUCAGCCACACUGGAACUGAGACACGGUCCAGAGUCCUACGGGAGGCAGCAGUGGGGAAUAUUGGACAGUGGGCGCAAGCCUGAUCCAGCCAUACCACGUGGGUGAAGAAGGCCUUCGGGUUGUAAAGCCCUUUUGUUGGGAAAGAAAAGCAGCAGGUUAAUACCCCGCUGUUCUGACGGUACCCAAAGAAUAAGCACCGGCUAACUUCGUG